GGAAGCGUCAUAGCUCAGUGGCAGAGUGUCUGCCUUGCAAGCAGAGGGUCCCCAGCUCAAUCCCUGGCCAUCUCCA